rnacentral:rRNA from 1 species
GAUGAACGCUGGCGGCGUGCUUAACACAUGCAAGUCGAACGGAAAGGCUCCUGCUUGCAGGGGUACUCGAGUGGCGAACGGGUGAGUAACACGUGGGUGAUCUGCCCUGCACUUCGGGAUAAGCCUGGGAAACUGGGUCUAAUACCGGAUAGGACGAUGGUUUGGAUGCCAUUGUGGAAAGUUUUUCGGUGUGGGAUGAGCUCGCGGCCUAUCAGCUUGUUGGUGGGGUAAUGGCCUACCAAGGCGUCGACGGGUAGCCGGCCUGAGAGGGUGUACGGCCACAUUGGGACGGAGAUACGGCCCAGACUCCUACGGGAGGCAGCAGUGGGGAAUAUUGCACAAUGGGCGCAAGCCUGAUGCAGCGACGCCGCGUGGGGGAUGACGGCCUUCGGGUUGUAAACUCCUUUCGCUAGGGACGAAGCGCAAGUGACGGUACCUGGAGAAGAAGCACCGGCUAACUACGG